rnacentral:rRNA from 1 species
CAGUCGCCACGGUAAUACGGAGGGUGCAAGCGUUAUCCGGAUUUAUUGGGUUUAAAGGGUCCGUAGGCGGAUCUGUAAGUCAGUGGUGAAAUCUCACAGCUUAACUGUGAAACUGCCAUUGAUACUGCAGGUCUUGAGUAAAUUUGAAGUGGCUGGAAUAAGUAGUGUAGCGGUGAAAUGCAUAGAUAUUACUUAGAACACCAAUUGCGAAGGCAGGUCACUAAGAUUUAACUGACGCUGAUGGACGAAAGCGUGGGGAGCGAACAGGAUUAGAGACCCGAGUAGUCCCUGUCUCUUAUAC